UCUGAAUGUGCCCACGUACUUCCCCUUCUCUGCUUCUAUAAAUACCUCUGUUACGUCCCUCCCCACCAUGUAUCAGAAGCAUUAAAUGUUUCAUAAUAAUGGUAGCUACCUAGCUAUCAAGCAUUUUAAAUUUUUUAUUUAUAGGGGUUUAUUAUAACCUUCAUUUCAAUACUAGUGAUUUUGUUAUAGCUCUCUUGUAUUUUAGUGUGAAAGAAUCUAUCAAGCUCAGGAGGGAUAGCGCCAUAGAAAAUCUUCCUAUUUCUCUUCUUUGGUUCGUUUUGAUUGAUCUUCUUUGACGCUAUCCAUCCUGAGUUUCAUGGCUUAUUCAUACUCUUUUCAGUUUCUCGCUUCAUCAUCCAUCAAAAUCAAAGUGUAUGUUUCGAUUGGAUGUAAAUUUGGCUGGAUUCUGCGUGAAAUAUUGUAAAUUUUAUAAAACUACAUUUUAUAGUUUCAACAAAAUCAAAUUUCAAUGUACUUUCAUUCAAUUCAUCGUCAAUGCAAACAUCGUCCGAGACGAAGAAAGUGGAAGAAAUGGAGUGUCACAAGCCAAUGAUUAUCAAGUUUAUUGCAAGUUCCUAUAUCUCUCUUUGAUUGACUUCAAAAGUUUCCACUUUUUCACUGUAUUUCAAAUAAUUGGUACAUGUUGUUUAACACCAUUUAUGUUGCAAUGUUCAAGUAAAAGUAGAACCAAUAUAUGAUUCUCUUUGUGUG